CGUUGAUUGCAGCUACAAUGUUGUGGGCAUCCAUCAUAUGUUUAUUCCUUAUCCUCUUCCACAUUCAGCAGUUCCAGAUUCUCAUAAACCUCUUGGGCUUCAACAACCUUCUCACCUUCCAAUGAAUUUACUUCAUGCUCACAUGGGCACUCCUAAGAUCAAACAGGUUUGCAUGUUUUUUCCUCUUCCACCAUCUCAAGUUCCACCUUAUCACCCACCUCUCCAGCUUCAACAAUCUCCCUAUAAAAUAUUUUCAACAAGCUUUCCUCACAUGCACUCUUAAUCAAAGAGAAACAAGAUUCUCCCAACCUGCACCACCUACGCCAAUUUCAACAUCAAGAUAUGACUCAAUCAUUUAUGCUUUAGUCAUUUGAUUAUAUUUAGAUUCCAAUCUCAAUAAUCCUUCUUAUUGAUACUGAUUGUUUCUUGGAGCAUGCAGCUACUCUUCUUCUGCCUGCGCUCCUAGCCUCUGCAAUUGCUCUUCCCAACCUAUCAUUUUUACUCCCAAGCUUGCUGAAUUACUCUUUUUCCUUGGCAUUUAAUCAUGUUUUCAUACCCUACUCUCAAGGAAGGAAGUCGUGGUUUACUUAGGUGAUAGAGAAGCUCAAAAAUUCAGGCAGCUAUGGAACUUAGUAGAUUAUUAUGCAGUAAGAAGAGGUACGAUUUGGAAGAAACUGGAGUGAUGGUUCUAUGAUUUAUUUGAAAACUAUGAAGCCAUUGAAGCUGCUCUCUAUGCUCACUCUAUCCUUACCUUUGGCAGUGAAAGGUUAAGAUGAAAACAAGGGAAGGAAAAACUCAAGUUAUGAAUUAUGAUCACUCCAUUAGAAAUUUCAAAUUUCAAACAUUCCCAAUAUUGAGAUUGAAGAAAAACAUUAUUCAAGUGCAGAGUUUGAUUGGGAAAUAGAGGACUUCAUGAACCAGCUAUACAAUUGAAAGAAUUGUUUAAUUUCCUCUACUACACUCGUACAUUAUCGUGCCGCGGCUAGAAUGCAUUAGAAUGGUCAACCUGCUUGCUGAUCUUGCCAAGUUUCUUCAACAGCAUCAAAGAGAUAAAUAUGUCAAGCUUCUUGGAUGAAUAACAUAUUGCAAGGACUCCAGCACACACUUAAAUUCUCAACAUUCUUUCACUCAAGUGUGAAUCACCACCACCACAUUACCAUGCUCCCCAUUCGCGGAAGAUAUCCACACUUGUAUCGUCGUUUGCUCCAUUGCGUCAACGGAACACUCAGUAUGACCUCACCGCCAGGAAGACUUUCAAUACAAAGAGUCGUCACCAUGGUCACACCAAUCAUCGGCUCUGAUACCACUUGUUGGGAGGAUAGUGAGAGCCCAUGAGCCAAGGAAACAACACACACCAAGAGAACUCUAUACCAUAUUUUUACCCAAUACCUUAAGACAUUGAGUUUAUGAGUCACAUCUCUAAUAAAGUAUUCACCUCACUCAUUAUAUGUAAUAAAGAUCCCCAACCAACUUGGCGAGCCAUUUAGACACACUUAAUCUUCAUACAUCAGACACAAUGUCUUGUGGACUUAUGUACUGGUCGAAUGAUUUUUAGUUGAGUGGUCACGUCACAUAUUAGAGU